rnacentral:rRNA from 1 species
CCUACGGGAGGCAGCAGUGGGGAAUAUUGCACAAUGGGGGGAACCCUGAUGCAGCGACGCCGCGUGGGUGAAGGAGUAUUUCGGUAUGUAAAGCCCUAUCAGCAGGGAAGAACAAUGACGGUACCUGACUAAGAAGCACCGGCUAAAUACGUGCCAGCAGCCGCGGUAAUACGUAUGGUGCAAGCGUUAUCCGGAUUUACUGGGUGUAAAGGGAGCGCAGGCGGCGCGUUAAGCCUGGUGUGAAAGUCCGCGGCCCAACCGCGGGACUGCAUUGGGAACUGGCGCGCUGGAGUGCCGGAGGGGUAGGCGCAAUUCCUAGUGUAGCGGUGAAAUGCGUAGAUAUUAGGAGGAACACCAGUGGCGAAGGCGGCCUACUGGACGGUGACUGACGCUGAGGCUCGAAAGCGUGGGGAGCAAACAGGAUUAGAUACCCGUGUAGUC